AAGGUAAGGGUGAGAUAAAUCCUAAGGGACUAGGCUAAAAUUCAAAGAGAUAAAAGAUACUUGAAAGAAACUGUGGGAGUUGAAUUUACAAAAUAUUUCAUUCACUUGAACAACUCUAUAGCAAAUGUUUUCUCUUUCUCCUUUCUCUUUUUAUUCUUUUUUUUCUUCCAGAAGGAGUAUGUAUUGACAUGUAUUGACAUCCUACUAUUUUUUUCAUUCAUUUUUUUCUUUUCUGUUUGUUUUUUCUUUUUCUACCAACUUCUGAAAUAUUACAAACAUAAUUAUUCAACCGCACGCAACUCCAAACAAGACUCUUUCAACCCUUUGAAUAGGGUGAUAACAUUGUUUUUCACUUCUUGACUUGUAAUGAGUUUUAAACAAAAAAAGAUAAUAGGCUCAAAGGGGUUUCAAACAAGGUAUGAAAUUAUUUUAGGGUUGUAUUUUUGGCUAACUGGCUAAAUAAACAAAAAAAAUUGCCUUUAUCAUAUCAGUGUGCACAAGUAAACAACAACAUCAACAUGAGUCAAUUCAAGUUCUAGAGACUAAUAGACAUGAGUGAAUCACACAAGAAAGAAAGAGAUGGAUUUUUUAAUGUUAGCCAUUAAAAGGCUCAAAAUCUCAUAAGGUUAAUUGAUCUACCACAAAUGAUGUACAAUUUAGAGUUUAGUCCUACCUAUCAUACUAAAAAUGCACAACAAAAUUUUCACAUUACACCACAUGACUUUAGUCAAGAGAACUAAGAAAAAUACUCAUAACUAUAACUCAAAAACCAAAGGAAAAAACAUGCAACUUUUUUUUAAUUUAAGAAAGCAAAUAAAAACCAAAAUUGAAAAACUGAAAACAAACAAAGAAAACAAAACAAAUAAAUGGUUUCCUCCCCCACACUUAAAACAUACAUUAUCC
rnacentral:lncRNA from 1 species